GGCCUGGCCGGGUGGUCUGCCUAACGGCAUGUACUGUCUGGGUGGGUCUUACCUCCUGGUGAGCCGGCGUGCCCUUUGUUGGCGUGCGUCGGGGAACCAGGACCUUUACCUUGAGAAAAUUAGAGUGUUCAAAGCAGGCCUAUGCCCGAAUACAUUAGCAUGGAAUAAUAGAAUAGGACU
rnacentral:rRNA from 1 species